AAAUUGUAACAGUGAAAGUGCCAAAUCUGUGCAAUAAUACACACCACAAUGUUUAUGAAAGAGUGACGUCACUUGGCUUCUUAAUCACUACUCAUCCCCAUGGUGACCCUCCAC